rnacentral:rRNA from 1 species
UACGUAGGGUGCAAGCGUUGUCCGGAAUUAUUGGGCGUAAAGAGCUCGUAGGCGGUUAGUCGCGUCUGCUGUGAAAACUCGGAGCUUAACUCCGGGCCUGCAGUGGGUACGGGCUGACUAGAGUGCGGUAGGGGAGACUGGAAUUCCUGGUGUAGCGGUGAAAUGCGCAGAUAUCAGGAGGAACACCAAUGGCGAAGGCAGCUCGCUGGAACGGUACUGACGCUGAGGCGCGAAAGCGUGGGGAGCAAACAGG